AUUGAACGCUGGCGGUAGGCCUAACACAUGCAAGUCGAACGCGAAAGUCCUUCGGGAUGAGUAGAGUGGCGGACGGGUGAGUAACGCGUAGGAAUCUGUCCUGUAGUGGGGGAUAACGUUUCGAAGGGAACGCUAAUACCGCAUACGCCCUACGGGGGAAAGCGGGGGAUCUUCGGACCUCGUGCUAUAGGAGGAGCCUGCGUCGGAUUAGCUAGUUGGUGAGGUAAAGGCUCACCAAGGCGACGAUCCGUAGCUGGUCUGAGAGGAUGAUCAGCCACACCGGAACUGAGACACGGUCCGGACUCCUACGGGAGGCAGCAGUGGGGAAUAUUGCGCAAUGGGCGAAAGCCUGACGCAGCCAUACCGCGUGUGUGAAGAAGGCCUUCGGGUUGUAAAGCACUUUCAGUGGGGAGGAAAAGCUGGUGGAUAAUAUCCAUCGGCCGUGACGCUACCCACAGAAGAAGCACCGGCUAAUUCCGUGCCAGCCGCCGCCGUAAAAC
rnacentral:rRNA from 1 species